AAGAAAACGAGGACACACUCUCCCAGAUCUCUUGAUCCUUAAUCGUCACAUCGGUGCUCGAGUACGCUUCUCCGCAAGAAGUCUGACUGGUGUAGUGCUGAAAAUAUGGGUGUUCUCAAGCGGAUGAUUUUCACUGUACUGGUUGUUUCUCUAGUCGCGACGACGACAGCAUACAAGCUGGACAACACGAAUUCAAGCGAUAUUAGUCAACCAGCGACAACACAAAAGAAGUGCCUUGGGAAAGGAGAGCAGUGUUCCGACACAUCUCAGUGCUGUGAAGGCUAUCGCUGCAAGAACGGCCGCGGUUCUUUCCCGAUCUACAUGUGCUACUCAUGAAUUUGGGCACCGUCCACGCACUGCUGAGUUAUCUUCCUGAUGAAUUUUUGCCUGUCUCGCCUAUGAAAUUAUGUCUGAAAAGGCUGUUUAAUUAUUCAGAUAUUUCCCAAUA